ACCUGGCUGGCUCAAUCGGUAGAGCGCGAGACUCUUGAUCUCAAGGUGGAGGGUUCGAGCCCCAUGUGGGGUG
rnacentral:tRNA from 1 species